GAUUGAGAAAAUACCAUGAAAUGAAAGGGCCACUGGUCUGGAUAAAACUACAGUCAGUAAAAAUGGAAAAUAAACUUCCAUGUGUUUGGCCUUUAGCAGCCUCAGAGACUUCAAAUAACAUUUCACCAAAUUGCUUUUGGGUCCUUCAUAGUUGUAAUGCUUUUUCUUUGGGUCACUUGACAGUUUAAAAUCUGUUAGCAGCUGUGAAAUAGUGUAAAAGGGAUAUGGAAUAUAUCUAUUUUUUAAAAUGCCAAUUAGGGCAGUAAAACGUAGCCCAAGAGGACAUACUAAUUUAAAAGUUACUAUCUAUUUCCACUCCUGAUGACAUGGAUAAUGUUUGUCCUCUGAAAACUUCUUUAUUUGAUUCAGGAUGGGCCAAAACUUGUUUUCAUUGGCCUACAUAUUGCUUUCACAGGGCUCAAUCCUAUUAGUUGAAGAAUUCAGUGUUACUCAAUGUUUCAGGUAUUAUUUAUGCUAGAUGGAUUUGUAUGUAGGGCACACAGUUUAAAAGGGUGCACUCUGUAAUAUUAAAUGAUAUGAAAAAUGAAUGCUGAGAACAGAAUUUAAAUUUGAAAAAAUACUAACAUGCUGACAACUGACAAAUGGCCCAAUUAACAUUACAGACAUUUUACUAAGUUGAAAAAUGAAAGGCAAACAAACGAAAAAAUUAUUUGUAGUAGAAGCAAAGUUUAUAAAUUUAUCAAAAACAUUUUUUUUUCCUAUUUCGGGAAAAUGGCUUAGGAUUAUGUUUCUGAAUUACUUACUUAUGGUGCUCUAAAGAGAGAAUAGUAUAUGUGAUUAACUGCCUAGUGAUUUAGGUAAAUUAUUGAAAAGAUUUUGUAUAAAUCAAAUAUUUAUGUCUUGAAUCAGUCUGUUCUACAGGAUUAGUCUCAAGUAUCUGAGAGCAGGAGUGUCUGGCUCAUUGCUAUAACCCUAGGAGCUGGAUAAGUGUGGACACACGACAAACCCUUAAAUCCUCAAGACAUUUUUAUUGAAUGUAUGGAAAAAAACCCUAAUGAGAAAAUGAACACAGAAAAACAAGAUACGACGCUGAAUCUGGAAGCAUUCUGAAUGGAUAUGAAUGGAAGGGAAUGAUAUGGAUAUAAGUAACUGGUACAGGAUGAUGAAAGCUGAGUGUUGCCAUGUUGAUCAUGUAACAUGAAUAGAAGAUGCUAUCGUUCUCCCAAAUAAUUUCUACCAUCAGCUCUGAAGGGAAAAGCAAGCAAUAAAAAAAUUAAAAGUGCUCUAAAGAUGAACUUAAAAUGUAUCCUCAAUUGUAGGGACAGAUAAAGGGAAAUUCUUAAAAAGAAUAUACCACUAUUUUUUGUUGUCUUUUUUUUUAAUUUUGGAAGAUUUCACUUUGAUAGGAAAAAUGACCAAGAGAAGACAGAAAUAAAGAGGUGGUGGAUCCAUGGCAAAACUACAGCACAACACAGUUGGUGGUUUUAACUCUUUCACCAAAAUUUCUCACAAAAGACCGAUUUGUUUCUUAGUUUUGAACUUCCUUCCUCUCCUUUUACCUCCCUCCCUUUCUUUUCUUCCUCCUCAUUGACUCCUAGGCCCAUGGAAGCCUCAUAAAAAUAUUCAAACAUUUCCUUUAAGAGUUAGACAGGCUAAGGCACUUUUUGGGAAUCUCCUCAUUUAAACAGAUGCUAAGGAUAUGGGCCAGGAAAGUAUAGGGAUUUGGAAAAAAAGGGGGUGAUAAAAUUCCCUAAUCUUCCUUGACUUGGUCAUUCUCUUCACCAUCUGUCUCUCCUGUUACACUUUGACCCCAGUCCUGAAGGACCUGUGGUGCACAUCAAACACCUGCCUCGAUUCUCCGUGUUUUCUUGGCCCUUCAGUUAUACCUUCACUGAACAGAGAAUCCUGUCAUUGGUCCCAUUAAGUUUAGCCACAUCUAUACGGCAUAUCAGAAUAUAUCAAACUGCCUCAUAUGAAUAAGUCUAAUGCUAAGGCAUGAACUCUUGCUUCCUAUUUGUCACAUGUCUCAAAGUGUCAAGUGUCACAGUGAUUCUUUAAUUCUUGAGGAACACUUUCUUCUUGAAAAUGAUACCAAACAGUGUAGAAGACUUCAGAUUUUGUCUCAAUUUGGUGGCACUGCCUCAAUGUCCUGGAAGUUCAGCUCUUAAAAGGCUGGUUUCUUGAAAUGACCUUAGAGCAUAAGAGGAGGAGAAUCAAUUUUCCUCCUGUCACUAAGAGUCUGCUGAGGAUUAUACCUGGGUAUAGAGGUGCCACACUCUUUUAAGAAAGUAAAAGCUUACCAGUGAAAUGAUAUUGGACCACUGGGUGCCAGAUUUUCUAAAGCAGAUUCAUCUACAAAAUUGAUAUGGACACAAGACAUUUAUUGCUUUAUUUCAUUAAACAUCCACACUUCAAACAUUUAACAUGUUGUCAGAAAUACUACUUUGAGCUCUUAAACCUUACCUAAAUGUAAAAGCAGAGACCCACAGAAAAUUAAAUCUUCUGUGAAACCAAUAUAUCAAAUUGUAUGAUUUUUGUUCCUAGUUAUUUCAAUGACUCCAUGAAAAAAGGGUGGGGGAGUCCAUAAAAAUUUUGGAAAUAAAGUUUCCAAAAAAGUACCAAAUAAUAGAAGUAUUUUUUAGAAGAGUCACUGAACAUACAAGAGCAUCAAUUAAAUGAAAUAUCCUGGUUGAUUUGACAACAACAAAAAAGCAGUGUGGCCGUGGGGAGAUGCAUGAGGACAUGGUGCGGGGGGGAGGGCGAAGAGGGCACUGCUGCUGUCAGCCCUUCAGCAUCAGCUCAAAACCCACCACUGAGGACAUCAACCACUUCCAUACUGACUUUGCUGCUGAACAAGAUUGGAAUCAGUUCCACCCACCUCAGAACCUCCUCCUGGCCUUGGUGGGAGAAAUCGGGGAGCUGGCAGAGCUCUUUCAGUAGAGGCCAGAUGAGGAGCCUGGGCCCCAAGCCUGGCCCCUCAGAAGGAGCUUAGUGAUGUCCUCAUCUGCCUGGUCGCAUUAGCAGCCUGCUGCCAGGUAGAUCUGCUCCAUGAUGGACAGCAUCCUACGGUGCUACUUAGCGCAUCUGUCCUGUGGCUCUGCCCCCAAGUACAGAGACUUGCCCAUGGGGCCACCUCUGAAGACCAGGCCGUGAGGCCUGUGGACCCUGCCUGUGAGUUCGCAUGUCAGGCCUCAAACUAGAAACAUGGGCACACAACCUGCAAUUCCGUGGCAUCUGAGAAGCAGGAGGUGCCCCGGCCAUAGUAUCUCACUUGAGUCCUUUCAUAACAGAUUGUGGUCCUGGGGUUUACACUUCUCACACUUCUUGAGGCCUGAGGCCCAAGAACCUCCAAAAAUAACCUCCUGGUACUUUCACCCUCAAUAAAAGUUUUGGUUAGGAAAAAAAAGUUGGGGGGGGGGGACAAAAGACUUGAAGAAGUUGCCUUUAGAAAUAGGGUACAUUUUGACUUGAAGUUCAUUGUGGACAAUUUUUGGCCUUUUGUGAAAAAGGUCAUGGAACAAUGGUUUGGUUUAGAAGACGGCAAUGAAACGGCAGUUUGGUUUAAAAGUGUGAGUUAUGACAUCUGACUAGUGGUAAUAUUGUCUAACCUUUAUAAGGUUUAAGAUAGGUGAGCCUGAAGAGCAUUAAUCUGUGAGAGGAAAACAUAUACUAGAUAAAUACAUAUUUUGUUUGCCUUGACCAUUAAAUUCAUGUUUAAAUAAUACCAAAAUGCUUAGAUAAAGAGUGAAACAUCUAUCAUCUGAAUGUUAGGUUUUAUAAAGUCUCUCUAUUCACAACAGACAAUUUAAUGGUUAUCAAUGUUUAUCUAGUAUAUGCAUGAAGUUAGCAAGCAAUACAAAAAAAUAAAAUAAAGUAUUAGGAUACAAAACAUGUAUUGCAUCAUGCUUUAUAGAAAAUAUCCAUUAAGCUAUACUUCAUUAUUAGGCUUCACUCUAUAGGUUUGUCUAAAUAUUUGAGCUCCAUAAAACUUUUGUCCCCAAUAUUUCUACUUGAAAUAAUAGUGAAAAAUACGUCCUGUCAAUGAAAUUAGGACUUUUUGAAAUGACCAAAUUUUGCUGUAUAAACAAAAUUUUUUAUUUUAUAUAAACAUUAUUAGACAUCCCUCCACACAUCCUAAAGAUCCAUAUUUAAUUAUUUAAAAUUAUUAAGCUAUUCCUUACAUGACGGACGCUGUACUAGCAUGUAUAUGACAUUUGUCAAAUACAAACAUACGUAUGUGUACACACACACACACACACACACACACUGCAUUCAGUGAAAACACUCAAUUGAUCAGAUUGUUUUCCACAUUGAAUUUUCAAGGAGAAAAUCACAGAAAAAUAAACUGAUAUCAGAAAAUUAGGUUUUUUUCAGCAUCCUUAGAUUAAAUUAGAAACAUUUCUGGGAGUUCCCGAUGUGGUGCAGUGGGUUAAGAAUCUGAAUGCAGCAGUUCAAGUCACUGUGGAGGUGCAGGUUCCAUUCCCAGCCCGUACAGUGAGUUAAAGGAUUUGGUGUUGCAGCUGUGGCUCAGAUUCAGUCCCUGACCCAGGAACUUCCAUAUGCUGUGAGCACAGAUAUUUAAAAAAAAUUCUAAUAUAAGAUCUCAGGUUAAUAUAUAUUCAGCCUGAUUUUCUACAACUUUUAUUUGUACAUAUUUAUUUUAAUUAGAUUUGACACUGCACUAUGCUUUUAGAAUAUUGAAAGCUACCAGAAUAUUACAACAAAGAGAGAGACAGUAUAUUCCUAUCGGUCUUAUCCAUAUGAAAAAAUAUAUUGCAUUAUGAUGAAAGGAGAUAAGAAUAUUAUAUUACAAGUUUUCACAAAAUCAUUAAGAAUAGUAGUGUUGCUGCUUCGAGUUAAAAAAAAAAAAAGAAACUUCCCUUCAUGGAUAAAAUGUCCAUGUUUGGUGAGGCAGUAUUAAUAUCUUGAUAAGAGCAAGAUUUAAUAUGUAAUUUUAGAUGACCAACAACUUGUGUCAAACAUUAUGCUUUUCUGAGCAGCAUAUCGCAUUUACCAAAAGUAAUUUCUUUUUCUAUUUGGAAAUGCUCAGGACUCUUGCAAAACUGAAGAUGCAGAAACUGAUGAUACAAGUCUUUGAUGCCCAAGUUCUAUA
rnacentral:lncRNA from 1 species